CCUACGGGAGACAGCAGUGAGGAAUAUUGGUCAAUGGUCGGGCGUCUGAACCAGCCAAGCCGCGUGAAGGAUGAAUGUACAGUGGGUUGUAAACUUCUUUUAUCAGGGAAUAAAAUGUUCCACGUGUGGCAUUUUGUGUGUCCCAUAUGAAUAAGCAUCGGCUACCUCCGUGCCAGCAGCCGCGGUAAUACGGAGGAUCCGAGCGUUAUCCGGAUUUCUUGGGUUUAACGGGAGCGGAGGUGGAUUGUUAAGUCAGUUGGGAAAGGUUGCGGCUCAACCGUAACAUUGCCGUUGAAACUGGCAGUCUCGAGUACAGGAGAGGUGGGCGGAAUGCGCGGUGUAGCGGUGAAAUGCGUAGAUAUCACGAAGAACUCCGAUUGCGAAGGCAGCUCACGGGACUGCAACUGACACUGAGGCACGAAAGCGUGGGUAUCAAACAGGAUUAGAUACCCCAGUAGUC
rnacentral:rRNA from 1 species